CUAAUACAUGCGAGUCGAACGAAGNAGCAANACUGAGUGGCAGACGGGUGAGUAACAUGUAGGUNUCGUACCCUUUGGCCGUGGAAUAACAGGAGGAAACGUUGUGCUAAUACCGGAUAAGUCUUUACGGAGAAAGCUUUAUGCACCAUUGGAUGAGCCUGCACUUGAUUAGUUUGUUGGUGGGGUAAUGGCCUACCAAGACAAUGAUCAAUAGCUGAUUUGAGAGGAUGAUCAGCCACAUUGGGACUGAGACACGGCCCAAACUCCUACGGGAGGCAGCAGUAGGGAAUCUUGCACAAUGGAGGAAACUCUGAUGCAGCGAUGCCGCGUGAGUGAAGAAGGCCUUUGGGUUGUAAAGCUCUUUCGUCGGGGAAGAAAAUGACUGUACCCGAAUAAGAAGGUCCGGCUAACUUCGUGCCAGCAGCCGCGGUAAUACGAAGGGACCUAGCGUAGUUCGGAAUUACUGGGCUUAAAGAGUUCGUAGGUGGUUAAAAAAGUUGGUGGUGAAAUCCCAGAGCUUAACUCUGGAACUGCCAUCAAAACUUUUUAGCUAGAGUAUGAUAGAGGAAAGUAGAAUUUCUAGUGUAGAGGUGAAAUUCGUAGAUAUUAGAAAGAAUACCGAUUGCGAAGGCAGCUUUCUGGAUCAUUACUGACACUGAGGAACGAAAGCAUGGGUAGCGAAGAGGAUUAGAUACCCUCGUAGUCCAUGCCGUAAACGAUGUGUGUUAGACGUUGGAAAUUUAUUUUCAGUGUCGCAGCGAAAGCGAUAAACACACCGCCUGGGGAGUACGACCGCAAGGUUAAAACUCAAAUGAAUUGACGGGGACCCGCACAAGUAGUGGAGCAUGUGGUUUAAUUCGAAGAUACGCGCAGAACCUUACCAACACUUGACAUGUUCGUCGCGACUCUAAGAGAUUAGAGUUUUCGGU
rnacentral:rRNA from 1 species